UGAUUAAGCCAUGCGAGUCAUAUGNNGUGAACAUGGCGUACUGNNCAGUAACACGUGGAUAACCUGCCCUUGGGACCGGGAUAACCCCGGGAAACUGGGGAUAAUACCGGAUAACGCAUAUCUGCUGGAAUGCUUUAUGCGUAAAAUGGAUUUGUCUGCCCAAGGAUGGGUCUGCGGCCUAUCAGGUAGUAGUGGGUGUAAUGUACCUACUAGCCUACGACGGGUACGGGUUGUGAGAGCAAGAGCCCGGAGAUGGAUUCUGAGACAUGAAUCCAGGCCCUACGGGGCGCAGCAGGCGCGAAAACUUUACAAUGCGGGAAACCGUGAUAAGGGGACACCGAGUGCCAGCAUCAUAUGUUGGCUGUCCAGAUGUGUAAAAUACAUCUGUUAGCAAGGGCCGGGCAAGACCGGUGCCAGCCGCCGCGGUAACACCGGCGGCCCGAGUGGUGAUCGUGAUUAUUGGGUCUAAAGGGUCCGUAGCCGGUUUGGUCAGUCCUCCGGGAAAUCUGACGGCUCAACCGUUAGGCUUUCGGUGGAUACUGCCAGACUUGGAACCGGGAGAGGUAAGAGGUACUACAGGGGUAGGAGUGAAAUCUUGUAAUCCCUGUGAGACCACCUGUGGCGAAGGCGUCUUACCAGAACGGGUUCGACGGUGAGGGACGAAAGCUGGGGGCACGAACCGGAUUAGAUACCCGGGUAGUCCCAGCCGUAAACGAUGCUCGCUAGGUGUCAGGCAUGGCGCGACCGUGUCUGGUGCCGCAGGGAAGCCGUGAAGCGAGCCACCUGGGAAGUACGGCCGCAAGGCUGAAACUUAAAGGAAUUGGCGGGGGAGCA
rnacentral:rRNA from 1 species